rnacentral:tRNA from 1 species
GGAGAGAUGGCAGAGUGGUCGAAUGCGGCAGUCUUGAAAACUGUUGAAUCGCAAGGUUCCCAGGGUUCGAAUCCCUGUCUCUCCGCCA